rnacentral:rRNA from 1 species
GAUGAACGCUGGCGGCGUGCCUAAUACAUGCAAGUCGAGCGAACGGACGAGAAGCUUGCUUCUCUGAUGUUAGCGGCGGACGGGUGAGUAACACGUGGAUAACCUACCUAUAAGACUGGGAUAACUUCGGGAAACCGGAGCUAAUACCGGAUAAUAUUUUGAACCGCAUGGUUCAAAAGUGAAAGACGGUCUUGCUGUCACUUAUAGAUGGAUCCGCGCUGCAUUAGCUAGUUGGUAAGGUAACGGCUUACCAAGGCAACGAUGCAUAGCCGACCUGAGAGGGUGAUCGGCCACACUGGAACUGAGACACGGUCCAGACUCCUACGGGAGGCAGCAGUAGGGAAUCUUCCGCAAUGGGCGAAAGCCUGACGGAGCAACGCCGCGUGAGUGAUGAAGGUCUUCGGAUCGUAAAGCUCUGUUAUUAGGGAAGAACAUAUGUGUAAGUAACUGUGCACAUCUUGACGGUACCUAAUCAGAAAGCCACGGCUAACUACGUGCCAGCAGCCGCGGUAAUACGUAGGUGGCAAGCGUUAUCCGGAAUUAUUGGGCGUAAAGCGCGCGUAGGCGGUUUUUUAAGUCUGAUGUGAAAGCCCACGGCUCAACCGUGGAGGGUCAUUGGAAACUGGAAAACUUGAGUGCAGAAGAGGAAAGUGGAAUUCCAUGUGUAGCGGUGAAAUGCGCAGAGAUAUGGAGGAACACCAGUGGCGAAGGCGACUUUCUGGUCUGUAACUGACGCUGAUGUGCGAAAGCGUGGGGAUCAAACAGGAUUAGAUACCCUGGUAGUCCACGCCGUAAACGAUGAGUGCUAAGUGUUAGGGGGUUUCCGCCCCUUAGUGCUGCAGCUAACGCAUUAAGCACUCCGCCUGGGGAGUACGACCGCAAGGUUGAAACUCAAAGGAAUUGACGGGGACCCGCACAAGCGGUGGAGCAUGUGGUUUAAUUCGAAGCAACGCGAAGAACCUUACCAAAUCUUGACAUCCUUUGACAACUCUAGAGAUAGAGCUUUCCCCUUCGGGGGACAAAGUGACAGGUGGUGCAUGGUUGUCGUCAGCUCGUGUCGUGAGAUGUUGGGUUAAGUCCCGCAACGAGCGCAACCCUUAAGCUUAGUUGCCAUCAUUAAGUUGGGCACUCUAAGUUGACUGCCGGUGACAAACCGGAGGAAGGUGGGGAUGACGUCAAAUCAUCAUGCCCCUUAUGAUUUGGGCUACACACGUGCUACAAUGGACAAUACAAAGGGCAGCGAAACCGCGAGGUCAAGCAAAUCCCAUAAAGUUGUUCUCAGUUCGGAUUGUAGUCUGCAACUCGACUACAUGAAGCUGGAAUCGCUAGUAAUCGUAGAUCAGCAUGCUACGGUGAAUACGUUCCCGGGUCU